UGGCCACAGCCCAGCCUGCCAGCUUGACUCCCCAGCCCCACUCUAUUGAUCAGCAUGGGGAGACUUGAUUUUUAUAGGCUUUUAUUUGACCUUGAAAAGUUAAGUUACAGAAAGACUAGCAGGCUCAUGCCAACCCUGAAAUGUUUUCCUUUUUAGUCAAAAGGCAAUGCCCACAAAGGCUUUUAUUCAGGCAGUUGAAGGCACAAGUGAAGGAGAAAAUUGUUUUUGAAAGACCGCUGGGACUCUUUGAAAACCUAGUUACUUUGGAAGUAUUCGUGGGGUCCAGUAUAGCAUUAGGAGCAUAGAAGGAUAAGUUCAAGCCCAGAUGAAGAAGCAGAAGUAAAAUCCCAGCUAUCUACUUCUGGUACUGAGAAGAUUGGUGCAGCACAAAGCACUGUUGCUGUUGCAGCUCAUGCCAGCUGGUGCUGACCUCUUGGCUUCCUGGCUGGAGAGUGGAGCAGCCAGGCCCCCAACUCAUCCAGAUCCUGCUGCAUCUUCUCUGACUCCUGGCCCAGCGUGUGGUUAGCUUCCUGACAAAGGGGCACCAGCUAUUCCUGCAGAAAACUCUCAUCAUGAAAGUUGGAAACUUGAAGGCAAAGGGGAAUGCUUGUGGGUUCUAGUUCAUUUUUGAGGGCUCCAGCUCAAAUUCAGCUUCCAGUUUGUCUUUGCUUCGCCCACUCCACAACUAUGUUCUCUUCCCAGCCACCUGCCUGUGGGCAUCAUGUCCCAGCACCAAGUUCAGGAACUAAACUUCACAUACACUGUUUCUCCUCUUCCAUAGUUGUGUACGGUCAAAUCCUUAUAAUAAAUCUCUAUAAACAUUCAUGUAUAUGUAUGUGCAUAUAGGUAUAUGUGUAUGUAUGUAUGCAUGUAUCUUGUUGGUUCCACUUCUCUGAUAAGAACCUUGGCAAUACAGCGAGCCUUCUCUUUCUGUGUCAGGAACUGUAUACUGAGAGCUGAGGAGACAGAUGAAUAAGGUGCAGCUCCUACAUUCACAAAAGUUCACAGUUCUUAAAGGAGAAUUCAGCAUCAUUCUUCAUAUAAAAACUUAUGAAGUUUCUAUGGAUUUGCCUAUUAUGGAUAUUUCAUAUAAAUGAAAUUAUACAAUAUGUGACCUUUUGUAUCUGGGUUUUUUUUCACUCAGCAUGUUUUCAAUGUUUGUCCACAUCGCAGCAUGUAUCAGUACUAUGUCACAGCAUGUAUCAGUAUCAUAUCUUUUUAUGGCUGAAUACUAUUCAACUUUACAGGCAUAUCACACUUGUUUAUUCAUCUAUUGAUAGACAUUGGGUUGCUUACACCUUUUGGAACUAGAUAGAGGUAGUGGUUGCACAACAUUGUGAAUGUACUAAAUGCCAUUGAUUGUACACUUUAAAGUGGUCAAUUUCACAUGACACGAGUUUCACUUUAAUUACUUGAUGAGUGCAAUGUAUAUUGUUCAGGUGAUGGAUAAGCUAAAAGCCCUGACUUCACCACUAUACAUUCUAUGCAUGUAACAAAAUUGCACUUGUACCUCAUAAAUUUAUACAAAUAAAAUGUUUAAA
rnacentral:lncRNA from 10 species